CUUAACAGAUGCAAGUCGAACGAUGAUUAUCUAGCUUGGUAGAUAUGAUUAGUGGCGGACGGGUGAGUAACAUWUAGGAAUCUGCCUAGUAGUGGGGGAUAGCUCGGGGAAACUCGAAUUAAUACCGCAUACGACCUACGGGUGAAAGGGGGCGCAAGCUCUUGCUAUUAGAUGAGCCUAAAUCAGAUUAGCUAGUUGGUGGGGUAAAGGCCCACCAAGGCGACGAUCUGUAACUGGUCUGAGAGGAUGAUCAGUCACACCGGAACUGAGACACGGUCCGGACUCCUACGGGAGGCAGCAGUGGGGAAURUUGGRCAAUGGGGGCAACCCGGAUCCAGCCAUGCCGCGUGUGUGAAGAAGGGCUUUUGGGUUGUAAAGCACUUUAAGCAGGGAGGAGAGGCUAAUGGUUAAUACCCAUUAGAUUAGACGUUACCUGCAGAAUAAGCACCGGCUAACUCUGUGCCAGCAGCCGCGGUAAUACAGAGGGUGCGAGCGUUAAUCGGAAUUACUGGGCGUAAAGCGAGUGUAGGUGGCUCAUUAAGUCACAUGUGAAAUCCCCGGGCUUAACCUGGGAACUGCAUGUGAUACUGGUGGUGCUAGAAUAUGUGAGAGGGAAGUAGAAUUCCAGGUGUAGCGGUGAAAUGCGUAGAGAUCUGGAGGAAUACCGAUGGCGAAGGCAGCUUCCUGGCAUAAUAUUGACACUGAGAUUCGAAAGCGUGGGUAGCAAACAGGAUUAGAUACCCUGGUAGUCCACGCCGUAAACGAUGUCUACUAGCCGUUGGGGUCCUUGAGACUUUAGUGGCGCAGUUAACGCGAUAAGUAGACCGCCUGGGGAGUACGGCCGCAAGGUUAAAACUCAAAUGAAUUGACGGGGGCCCGCACAAGCGGUGGAGCAUGUGGUUUAAUUCGAUGCAACGCGAAGAACCUUACCUGGUCSUUGACAUAGUGAGAAUCCUGCAGAGAUGCGGGAGUGCCUUCGGGAAUUCACAUACAGGUGCUGCAUGGCUGUCGUCAGCUCGUSUCGUGAGAUGUUGGGUUAAGUCCCGCAACGAGCGCAACCCUUUUCCUUAUUUGCCAGCGGSUUUAAGCCGGGAACUUUAWGGAUACUGCCAGUGMMCWAACUGGAGGAAGGCGGGGACGACGUCAAGUCAUCAUGGCCCUUACGACCAGGGCUACACACGUSCUACAAUGGUAGGUACAGAGGGUUGCUACACAGCGAUGUGAURCUAAUCUCAAAWARCCUAUCGUAGUCCGGAWUGGAGUCUGCAACUCGACUCCAUGAAGUCGGAAUCGCUAGUAAUCRCAGAUCAGAAUGCUGCGGUGAAUACGUUCCCGGUCCUUGUACACACCGCCCGUCACACCAUGGGAGUCUAUUGCACCAGAAGUAGGUAGCCUAACGUAAGAGGGCGCUUACCACGGUGUGGUCGAUGACUGGGGUGAAGUCGUAA
rnacentral:rRNA from 1 species